GAUAAGUAAUGUGAAUUGCAGAAUUCAGUGAAUCAUCGAAUCUUUGAACGCACCUUGCGCUCCUUGGUAUUCCGAGGAGCAUGCCCGUUUGAGUGUCGU
rnacentral:rRNA from 1 species